CUGGUGCUUGCACUGGUGGAUUAGUGGCGAACGGGUGAGUAACACGUGAGCAACCUGCCCCUGACUCUGGGAUAAGCGCUGGAAACGGUGUCUAAUACUGGAUAUGUCCUGCCACCGCAUGGUGUGUGGGUGGAAAGAUUUUUCGGUUGGGGAUGGGCUCGCGGCCUAUCAGCUUGUUGGUGAGGUAAUGGCUCACCAAGGCGUCGACGGGUAGCCGGCCUGAGAGGGUGACCGGCCACACUGGGACUGAGACACGGCCCAGACUCCUACGGGAGGCAGCAGUGGGGAAUAUUGCACAAUGGGCGGAAGCCUGAUGCAGCAACGCCGCGUGAGGGAUGACGGCCUUCGGGUUGUAAACCUCUUUUAGCAGGGAAGAAGCUUUCGGGUGACGGUACCUGCAGAAAAAGCACCGGCUAACUACGUGCCAGCAGCCGCGGUAAUACGUAGGGUGCAAGCGUUAUCCGGAAUUAUUGGGCGUAAAGAGCUCGUAGGCGGUUUGUCGCGUCUGCUGUGAAAUUCCGAGGCUCAACCUCGGGCUUGCAGUGGGUACGGGCAGACUAGAGUGCGGUAGGGGAGAUUGGAAUUCCUGGUGUAGCGGUGGAAUGCGCAGAUAUCAGGAGGAACACCGAUGGCGAAGGCAGAUCUCUGGGCCGUAACUGACGCUGAGGAGCGAAAGGGUGGGGAGCAAACAGGCUUAGAUACCCUGGUAGUCCACCCCGUAAACGUUGGGAACUAGUUGUGGGGUCCUUUCCACGGAUUCCGUGACGCAGCUAACGCAUUAAGUUCCCCGCCUGGGGAGUACGGCCGCAAGGCUAAAACUCAAAGGAAUUGACGGGGACCCGCACAAGCGGCGGAGCAUGCGGAUUAAUUCGAUGCAACGCGAAGAACCUUACCAAGGCUUGACAUACACGAGAACGGGCCAGAAAUGGUCAACUCUUUGGACACUCGUGAACAGGUGGUGCAUGGUUGUCGUCAGCUCGUGUCGUGAGAUGUUGGGUUAAGUCCCGCAACGAGCGCAACCCUCGUUCUAUGUUGCCAGCACGUAAUGGUGGGAACUCAUGGGAUACUGCCGGGGUCAACUCGGAGGAAGGUGGGGAUGACGUCAAAUCAUCAUGCCCCUUAUGUCUUGGGCUUCACGCAUGCUACAAUGGCCGGUACAAUGGGCUGCGAUACCGUAAGGUGGAGCGAAUCCCAAAAAGCCGGUCCCAGUUCGGAUUGAGGUCUGCAACUCGACCUCAUGAAGUCGGAGUCGCUAGUAAUCGCAGAUCAGCAACGCUGCGGUGAAUACGUUCCCGGGUCUUGUACACACCGCCCGUCAAGU
rnacentral:rRNA from 1 species